ACAGGAGAGACGUUGUGGGUGAGACAGAGGGAACAUCAAAUGAGAAACUGGGAAGAGAUAUGAAGUAGCGGGACCAGUUUUUCUAAUUUCUCAACAGAAAGCUCAACUGAUCAAAGAGAAGGAAGGAAGCAAUUUGCUGGGCUCCCAGGACACCAACGCAGAGCUACCUUCGAGCCGGCACUGUGUGACUGCAUGGAGACUGUCUGUGCCAGUGGGCCAGACCUAAAGAAGGAACUACCAGAUGAUGCUGAGGAUUCCUGCAUUCAUCGACAGAAGCAGUUUAGUGAGACAAAGGAACCGUAAGGCAGGAUAUGCAGUAACUGCUACUGAGCAGGUAAUCAGAGUACAACCGUUACCUGUAGGGACUUCCACUAAGAGGUCUAAAAUAGCCUUAAACGUAUGGACAGAUGCUAAAUAUGCAUUUGGGGUGGCACACACUUAUGGUACCAUCUGGAAAGAGCAAGGAGUGCUCACACACAGGGAAAACAAAUUCAGCACGGUGUAUAUCUACCAAAGAGCGUGGCUGUUAUACACUGUGAUGGACAUCAGAAAGGUGACACUGUCCAGGAAACUGGAAAUAUGAUAGGGAUCAGGUGGCAAAACAGGCAGUUGAAGGAAAAGAAAUAGCAGAACUGGCUUUAAUUCCAGAUGGUAAACUUCAAAUCUCUGAACCUGAGUCAGCCUGUGGAGCAUUUUAGAGGGGACGGGAAUCUAAUUAAUGAUUUAGAAGGGAAGAGAGCUAGCUGACAGAUGGGUGCGUACCCAGAUGGACACGCUGUUGUGCCCUUUAGUACUUUAUGGAAGUUGGUUCUAAGGGAACCUAUUGAAACAUACUGAGGGGACAAACAGUAGAAAGUAAUUGCGCAAUCUAGUACCAGGAACAGGGUACAAGUGGGGCCUAUUAGGAAAGGGAACCUUCCAGGGCAACAAUGGCAAAUUGUUUUUUGUUUGGAACUACCAGGAAAAAAGGAGGGUUUUGUUAUAUGCUAGUUAAACCAAUACCUUUCCAGGGUGGCCAGAAGCAUUCCCUCUGCAAAGCCAAAGAAGUAGCCGAGGUAUUGUUGCAGGAGAUUAUUCCAAGGUUUGGGGUUAGUGCAACAAUAUCCUCCAACCAGGGAGCUCCCUUGAUUGUAAAGAUUGUCCAACAGGGCAGAAAUAGCUUUGGGAAACAGAGAAACUGGUUCUAGGAACAAGAGCCCAAGGCCUUGACAGCUUGAUAAAUCAUAUUUUACAAAGAGAUUAUGUGUAUAUAUUAGAUCUCUUUCAGACCCACCCCUGGAACCAAGCUGGGAAGGUCUGUUCCAGGUGCUGCUAACGUCCCACACAGCUGUCAAAGUUAAAGAACAAGCGCUGUGGAUGCAUUAGACUAGGGUCAUAAGAUUCCUUGAACACAAUGGGAAUCGAAGUCAGCUGGACCUUUAAAACUGCAAAUCCAAAGACAGUAAAUAUGGGCUCUUGUAAUAGUGAGAAAUUUGAUAAGUGCGGCUUUUGAUGCAAAUGCUUAUGUAAAAAAAAAAAA
ensembl:lncRNA